ensembl:lncRNA
GGACACAUAAUCAAUACCACCCCCUGCCCCUCCAGUGCACGUCAAUCACACACCAGUUCUUCUUCUUAACACAUCGAUUUCUGUGGAUUGAUCGCCACUGCAGGCCACAAAGAAGAGCCAAAAAAUUAAAGAGGUUUUGAUUUUUCCACUGUGGGCCCAAGAUCGUUUUUAGGAUUUUUUUGCAUCCCUGGCUCAAUUUUUAUGUAACCAUUGAAAGAGAGUGAAAGAAAUAGGAGAGACGGAUGCACUGUCCAGCUACAGCUCAGCGUAAUCGCUCACAGGGUCAGACAACUGAGCGCUUACUCCUGCUCUCCCCCAUCUCUCCCUCUCAUGUUGUCAUGCACGUGCCAGACACACAGACAGACUCGAACCAACAAACACUGGGCAUUGUUAAUCAUGCCAGGUUUUGCUGAGGGUGCCCCGAAAGGCCAGUCCAUAAUGCUGUUUAAGGUUUUGGGGGGGGGUUUGUGGUCAUGUACUGAUCCUUUGCUUCACUGGCCAGUCAGUCCUCUCAUGUAACACUCUCUCUCCUCUCAUUAUCUCCUGUUUGCUCUGAUUCUCAAAGUCUUCCCCUUCAGCAGUAUCGGUGUGCAUGUGACAAAGGAUUUGAGAGCUUAUUCAGUACAUGAUGCAUGAUUUUUUUUUUUUUUUUUUUUGGAAAGACACAAAGAGACUUCAAAACCUUCAAAUGCUGGAGGUGUUAAAUCAAAUCUGAAAUAUUGUGGGAGGAAGAGAGCGAGAGGAAUUAAAAGAGUGGGGGUUGACUCAAGCUGAGCAGCAGGAAAAAUAAAAGGAAUAUUAUAACGAAGCCAAAAUGGUUCAUUAUUCAGAUUUUCAUUUACUAUGAGAAUCUCCCAUAUCCGCUGUCUCUCUCAAACGUGCUUUCCACAUCUCUGGUUUGAGUUUGUGUUUCCAGCUCUCAGAAUAAUUCUCUAUAUUUCGAAGGCUUGAACUUUGGAUUUUUCAUUCACUUAAGGUAUUAAAAGUAUGCUUGAAAGACUCUAUUGUUUCAAUGGGUUGCACUGCAUGGUUCAGAAUUUACACUACUAAUGCCUUAUUGUGCAAAUAAGUCUGGAGAAAACAGACUGCUCAUGUUUGCGUCCACUAAAUCCCAUAUUGAUAGAAUACUAUCUUUGUGAAUAUUUAUGGUCCCCAUUUUCGAGGUAUCCUUGUAAUCUUAAAAUAAUGCAGUCUCAGUAAUGCAGGAUUUGCAGUAUUUAGUUGGUUGUUAUAUAAAUAGCUCGAGUCUAUUCAUAUUUACAUUAGAUUUUGUUUUGCAUCUGGCAUGACAAUGCAAGUCUUCUUUUUGCAUGAAAGUAGCCUAAUAGCCAACAGCAGUCUUCUGCUGCUGUUGUCCAUCUACAAUAGCUUAAAGAAGCCUGGUCAUUUUCCUCUGACCUCUGGUAUCAAUAAG